rnacentral:rRNA from 1 species
ACACUAAUCCCCCCAGGGGAUCCUGGCCCUUAAAUCGAUGAUCCACGAACGUCUUACCUUUUCUAGUCCUUCUCUUAAUGUAAAAGUGGGAGAGGGGAGUCUCAGCUCGCAUACCGCCGUUUGUCAGUUUGUAUUGUGAAAGGAAAGAAACAAGCGCCGAAGCAAGUCCCCCACCACUUAAAGGGCUUCGCUCCAAAUUCAGGUAAACGUGUGGCCCAUGGAAAGGAGCAGCUGGGAUACAAUUGAGGUUUGUAAUGGAGUGACUGCGAUAAACGCUAGACGAAAGAGGACUUGGAAGUAAUUGCCUUGGACACAGAGGUGGUGAAUAGUGCUCUAGUGUGUGU